GACGAACGCUGGCGGCGUGCCUAAUACAUGCAAGUCGAGCGCAGGAAGCUGACGGAACUCUUCGGAGGGAAGGCAGUGGAAUGAGCGGCGGACGGGUGAGUAACACGUAAGGAACCUGCCUCAAGGAUUGGGAUAACUCCGAGAAAUCGGAGCUAAUACCGGAUAGUUCAACGGACCGCAUGGUCCGCUGAUGAAAGGCGCUCCGGCGUCACCUUGAAAUGGCCUUGCGGUGCAUUAGCUAGUUGGUGGGGUAACGGCCAACCAAGGCGACGAUGCAUAGCCGACCUGAGAGGGUGAUCGGCCACACUGGGACUGAGACACGGCCCAGACUCCUACGGGAGGCAGCAGUAGGGAAUCUUCCACAAUGGACGAAAGUCUGAUGGAGCAACGCCGCGUGAGUGAUGAAGGUUUUCGGAUCGUAAAACUCUGUUGUAAGGGAAGAACACGUAUGAGAGGGAAUGCUCGUACCUUGACGGUACCUUACGAGAAAGCCACGGCUAACUACGUGCCAGCCGCCGCGGUAACAC
rnacentral:rRNA from 1 species